rnacentral:misc_RNA from 1 species
GAUGAAGAACGUAGCGAAAUGCGAUAAGUAAUGUGAAUUGCAGAAUUCAGUGAAUCAUCGAAUCUUUGAACGCACAUUGCGCCCAUUAGUAUUCUAGUGGGCAUGCCUGUUCGAGCGUCAUUAAUUCCACUUAAGCCCUGCUUAGUGUUGGGAAUCUACUAGUGGUGCUACCCUGGAGCUACCCCUGAAAGGGGGCUGGCCCGGUAGCUACCCUGUAGUUCCUCAAAGAUAGUGCGCGGAGUUGCGUGGUCCUCUGAGCUUAGUAACUAUACACCUAGCUUUUGAGUGUCCCGCGGCGCCUGCCGUUUAAACCCCAUCUUUUAAUGGUUGACCUCGGAUCAGGUAGGAAUACCCGCUGAACUUAAGCAUAUCAAUAAGCGGAGGA